AACGAGGCCGACCUGCGGCUGAGUUACCUGCGGAGGGAUCAUUAAAAGAGUUUUCACAAAACUCCCUAAACCCCACUGUGAACCUACCUGUUAUUUGUUGCCUCGGCGGGCAGCCCCAGGGCGGGGCCCUAGCCUGGAGGGGAAAUACCACUUCCUCCCCCGGGUGCUCGCCGGAGGAUUCAAAAAACUCAUUUUUACUGUUACUCUGAGUUGCAGCAAGCAAAAUAAGUAAAAACUUUU
rnacentral:misc_RNA from 1 species